rnacentral:rRNA from 1 species
GACGAACGCUGGCGGCGUGCUUAACACAUGCAAGUCGAACGGAAAGGCCCUGCUUUUGUGGGGUGCUCGAGUGGCGAACGGAUGAGUAACACGUGAGUAACCUGCCCUUGACUUUGGGAUAACUUCAGGAAACUGGGGCUAAUACCGGAUAGGAGCUCCUGCUGCAUGGUGGGGGUUGGAAAGUUUCGGCGGUUGGGGAUGGACUCGCGGCUUAUCAGCUUGUUGGUGGGGUAGUGGCUUACCAAGGCUUUGACGGGUAGCCGGCCUGAGAGGGUGACCGGCCACAUUGGGACUGAGAUACGGCCCAGACUCCUACGGGAGGCAGCAGUGGGGAAUAUUGCACAAUGGGCGGAAGCCUGAUGCAGCAACGCCGCGUGCGGGAUGACGGCCUUCGGGUUGUAAACCGCUUUCGCCUGUGACGAGGCGUGAGUGACGGUAAUGGGUAAAGAAGCACCGGCUAACUACGUG